UACGAAGGGGGCUAGCGUUGCUCGGAAUCACUGGGCGUAAAGCGCACGUAGGCGGACUCUUAAGUCAGGGGUGAAAUCCUGGAGCUCAACUCCAGAACUGCCUUUGAUACUGAGAGCCUUGAGUCCGGAAGAGGUAAGUGGAACUGCGAGUGUAGAGGUGAAAUUCGUAGAUAUUCGCAAGAACACCAGCGGCGAAGGCGGCUCACUGGCCCGGUACUGACGCUGAGGUGCGAAAGCGUGGGGAGCAAACAGG
rnacentral:rRNA from 1 species